rnacentral:rRNA from 1 species
UACGGAGGGAGCAAGCGUUACUCGGAAUUAUUGGGCGUAAAGGGCGCGUAGGCGAUUUGAAAAGUCUUGUGUGAAAGCCCCGAGCUUAACUCGGGAAGUGCACAAGAAACUGUUGAAUUUGAGUUCCGGAGAGGAAGGCAGAAUUCCCGGUGUAGCGGUGAAAUGCGUAGAUAUCGGGAGGAAUACCAGUGGCGAAGGCGGCCUUCUGGACGGAUACUGACGCUGAUGCGCGAAAGCGUGGGGAGCGAUCCGG